GCUGGAUCGAAGAGCAAGUAUUUUCUUUCCAGUGGUUGUACCAAAUUUCCCUUCAAAUGCUCGUGUAUCAAGAAUUAGAACUAGCCUCCGCUUCAUGACCGUUCCAGGCUCUGCCACAGUCAACAGGUAAUUUUGGACGAUGACGAAUAAGGCUGCUGUGAACAUUCUGGAACAUGUCUUUUGGUGCACACGGAGAGGAAAUGCUAGGCCCUCGGGCAAGCACGUGUUCAUCUUCAGUCAUGUACUUAGUACUUUCGGACGGUUUAGUCCUUCUUGUGCUGAUGCUGUGGGUGCCACACAGAUCCUCCCUCCACGACCAAACACUGGUUCCCCACCUGUCAGGACGUUGGCUGCUGAUGGCUCUCAGCUGAGACCCCUCCCCAGGCACUGCACUCAGCUGAAGGGAGCUGCCUGGCCAGACAAUGUACCCUUAGCCUGGUGGCAGCCCAGAUGCAAUGACUGAUGGAUGUGAGGAUAGAAAAGUCCGGCC
rnacentral:lncRNA from 1 species